rnacentral:lncRNA from 1 species
GUGCAUUCUGUUUUGAGGUAUGUAGAGAGGGAUCUCUUAAAGGACUUUAGGCUUGGGGGAGAUUUUAAAGUGUGCAGGAGGUUGUUCCAUAAUUGCGGUGUUCUGUAGGAAAAGGAUAAUCUGGCUGCUUUCUUUUUGUAUUGAGGUAGACUAAAUAAAGUGCUGGUACUGGAUCGUAGGUUAUAGGAGGUGGGAACAGCUGAGGAGAGCCUUUUACUCAGGUAGGGUCAGAGUUUCCCAGAAAAGCUCUUAAACACAAAGCUGGAAAGAUGAAGGAUGCGUCUGGAUUCCAGCGACAGCCAGUUUAGUUCUUU